AUGUACACAAAUCUAAGUAAAUGUGUGUGGUGGGAAGGUGCAAGGGCGUGUGAGACAGGCCCCCCUGCACACCUGGGCGAGGGCUGUUGCUCGCUGAGGCCAGUGAGCGCUCCAAACAGACUGACCUUGUUCAGGCAGUUUGUGGGGUGCCUUGGAGGGAGAUUCCCAGCUCACCCAGCCAGGAGCCCCAUUCCAGGGACACACAGAGUACCAGUGAUGGGUAGGAAGGCACCCAACACCCCUGCUUGCAAUCUACAACUCUGCACUGAAUGUGAUUCCAGAGCGGUGCUGAGAACAGCACACCGCCCCAGCCCCGCUCUGCUGUUCCUACAGACAUGGAAAGCCAGGCCAGCAGAGGAACCAGGGAGGGUGGGACUAAGCCAGCAGGAAACCAGCCCCACAUCUGGGGGGGAGCAGCAGAGUGGAGACCAUCAGCCAUUAGGCAGUGUGGGGCCAGGUGAGUGCCCACAGUGUUCAGCCCCAGGCCCAGCAUGGGGGAGCAGCUGGGUUAGUGACCCCUCUGGUUUCCAGUGCAGCUGGCGGGACACCCUGGCAUGGAUCCGAACAGGGCCUGUGCCCCUGGUGGGCUGGCCACUGGGUGAGGGUAGGUGGGGUGUGGAGCAGAUGGGAAGGGAGGGCUGGAGCAGGCCAAUCGCCCAGCCCCACAUGGAAGAAGGGUGCAUGGGGAGCUGUGUGGCCACACACAGCACCAUUCACAGCCAUGGAGGCAGGUCCCCUUCGACAGCAUCUCUCUCUGCCACUGCCAGCCCCAGCCCUGAGUCUGCUGGCGCUGAGCACCCUCUGCUCCUGCUCAAGGAGACGGCAGCGGAGGGUGCUCAGCUCCCCGCUGGCUGGGGCUGGCAGCGUGUGAUGGGAAGCUCUGCUCAGCCUGGGAUGCUGGACCAGGAAGAGGCGCCAUGUGUGCAGCCAAGCUCCAUUCAGUCAGCCACUAGCAAAUGUGUCGGAAGAUGCACAGGCAGGAGGCCCCAGCAUGGCCUGCAUCAUCUGUCCCGAGACUCCAGGCGUCCCGGGGAAGGCCUGUCUCCUCUCCUAGCCCUGGAUUAUCUCCCUAUUACAAUUUAG
rnacentral:lncRNA from 1 species